rnacentral:rRNA from 1 species
UACGAAAGGGGCUAGCGUUGUUCGGAAUUACUGGGCGUAAAGCGCACGUAGGCGGCCUUGUAAGUUGGGGGUGAAAUCCCGGAGCUCAACUCCGGAAUUGCCUCCAAAACUGCAAAGCUCGAGGAUGUGAGAGGUUGGCGGAAUUCCGAGUGUUGAGGUGAAAUUCGUAGAUAUUCGGAAGAACACCAGUGGCGAAGGCGGCCAACUGGCACAUUUCUGACGCUGAGGUGCGAAAGCGUGGGGAGCAAACAGG